GAACUGAGGAGGAUGUGGGAUGCAGGCGCUCAGGAAGAUUCCAACGAGACAGGAGAUACCAACUGAGCGCCUGCGUCCCAACCAGGCACUGCUACCGAAAAUCUCCGAUCAACAGCACCGGGACGCACCGACACCUAGAGUGGAGCACCCACAGGGACAGCACUCGAAGAAGAAAUCCAAUUUUUAUAUCCUAGCUAGAAGGAUCCAUUUAGAACACACCUCUGUGAAUUCAUAGUUACUAAACGGCACAGAUUAGACAUUCUCUCUCUACAUUUAUUUUGCCUUUCGAAUAGUCAUCCUUUCUGCUAUGUCCGUAAAAGCAACUGCCAGCUUUCAAUAAGGACAAUUUUUAAAAUCACAAAUUAUACUUCAUAAAUAAAUUAAGUUGUCUAGACAUGAUGUGCCAGGAGCUUUUGAUCCCAAUAAACUAAUAGGGAUAUAAAGCUUUGCAUGCACUGCAAACACAAGUGAAAAGCCUCAUCUUAUGUUUAAUUGCAGUCAGUAGGCAUCUGAAACAAGGGGUGGACGAAAGCCAGACAGAAGCUGCAGACCAACCAUGCUCAUCAGUCUCAGCAUGAACGUAGCUCCCGUUUUAUCAACGUGUUAGUAUUUCCAUAUCAAAUGCUUUAAGAGGAACAAACAUUAUAAAACUAAUAAUUAUACAUAAAGACAUCUGAAAUAAAUAACAGAUUUGACCUUUCGUUAUAGGUCAAACAAGGGUUUGUUUAGUGUUUAAAAUAUUACCAAUAAUGCUCUGGUGAAAAACGAUUCCUCAAAGUGUUAUUUAACUGUGAUCAACAGGUGCUGUUCAUGUUUUAAAAAAAGAAUGCAUAUCUAUUACUAACAGGAGAAAAUAUGA